UUUAAAUCUUUCAGUGGGCAGAUAAUGAAGUAAAAAGCUCAUGAAACUCUUGUGGCUAAGUCACUAGUGAUACGUAAAGUGACUUCUUCUUGAAGAGUCUUCCUCAGGCAUUUUCUUUUCAUGACAUGCUGAAAUCUCAAAGUCUGGAACAGAGAAGUACACAAAGCCCUCUCCAGGAUGUACUGAUCAACUGCAAUGAAUCUCAUUCUUUAUCAUUAGAACAAAGUAAUGAAGACGAGUCUCUCCAGUUGUCUGAAAAUUCCUAUGAAUCGUGCUGGUUGAAUACAUAGAAGUCCAAAGAUGCACUGACAUCACAUGUUGGCAUAGAGAUCCCUGAGCAAGCAAGAACUUCCUGAGCUGCAAAUCUAAGCGGAAUAGGACUAUUCUGACUUCCGAUUCAGAGAGUGGUUCUUAUCUUCCUGCCUGAGGGUUUUACUAUAAGCAUCGAUAGCCUUGAUCAGGGUGAGUAAAAGGAUGUCCUCGGAUUUUAAGAAAUGAAGGCCAGCGCUAUUGUUGAAGGCCAGCGCACACUGCCCUGCUCCAUGAUUGGGG
rnacentral:lncRNA from 1 species